rnacentral:rRNA from 1 species
UGCAAGUCGAACGGUGAAGGAGGAGCUUGCUCCUUUGGAUCAGUGGCGAACGGGUGAGUAACACGUGAGUAACCUGCCCCAGACUCUGGGAUAAGCACUGGAAACGGUGUCUAAUACCGGAUACGAGCUUCAGCCGCAUGGCUAGGAGCUGGAAAGAAUUUCGGUCUGGGAUGGACUCGCGGCCUAUCAGCUAGUUGGUGAGGUAAUGGCUCACCAAGGCGACGACGGGUAGCCGGCCUGAGAGGGUGACCGGCCACACUGGGACUGAGACACGGCCCAGACUCCUACGGGAGGCAGCAGUGGGGAAUAUUGCACAAUGGGCGCAAGCCUGAUGCAGCAACGCCGCGUGAGGGACGACGGCCUUCGGGUUGUAAACCUCUUUUAGUAGGGAAGAAGCGAAAGUGACGGUACCUGCAGAAAAAGCACCGGCUAACUACGUGCCAGCAGCCGCGGUAAUACGUAGGGUGCAAGCGUUAUCCGGAAUUAUUGGGCGUAAAGAGCUCGUAGGCGGUUUGUCGCGUCUGCUGUGAAAACUGGAGGCUCAACCUCCAGCCUGCAGUGGGUACGGGCAGACUAGAGUGCGGUAGGGGAGAUUGGAAUUCCUGGUGUAGCGGUGGAAUGCGCAGAUAUCAGGAGGAACACCGAUGGCGAAGGCAGAUCUCUGGGCCGUAACUGACGCUGAGGAGCGAAAGCAUGGGGAGCGAACAGGAUUAGAUACCCUGGUAGUCCAUGCCGUAAACGUUGGGAACUAGAUGUAGGGACCAUUCCACGGUUUCUGUGUCGCAGCUAACGCAUUAAGUUCCCCGCCUGGGGAGUACGGCCGCAAGGCUAAAACUCAAAGGAAUUGACGG